GUAGGGUGCGAGCGUUGUCCGGAAUUACUGGGCGUAAAGAGCUUGUAGGCGGUCUGUCGCGUCGAUUGUGAAAAUUCACAGCUCAACUGUGAACCUGCAGUCGAUACGGGCAGACUAGAGUACUUCAGGGGAGACUGGAAUUCCUGGUGUAGCGGUGAAAUGCGCAGAUAUCAGGAGGAACACCGGUGGCGAAGGCGGGUCUCUGGGAAGUAACUGACGCUGAGAAGCGAAAGCGUGGGUAGCGAACAGGAUUAGAUACCCUGGUAGUCCACGCCGUAAACGGUGGGUACUAGGUGUGGGUUUCCUUCCACGGGAUCCGUGCCGUAGCUAACGCAUUAAGUACCCCGCCUGGGGAGUACGGCCGCGAGGCUA
rnacentral:rRNA from 1 species